CAGCAGCCGCGGUAAUACGUAGGUGGCAAGCGUUGUCCGGAAUUAUUGGGCGUAAAGGGCUCGCAGGCGGUUUCUUAAGUCUGAUGUGAAAGCCCCCGGCUCAACCGGGGAGGGUCAUUGGAAACUGGGAAACUUGAGUGCAGAAGAUGAGAGUGGAAUUCCACGUGUAGCGGUGAAAUGCGUAGAGAUGUGGAGGAACACCAGUGGCGAAGGCGACUCUCUGGUCUGUAACUGACGCUGAGGAGCGAAAGCGUGGGGAGCGAACAGGAUUAGAUACCCGUGUAGUCCCUGUCUCUUAUAA
rnacentral:rRNA from 1 species